rnacentral:tRNA from 1 species
GGCCGGUUUGCCGGACGAGGACGUCGUGCCAGUUCAGGGCGCUGGCAUGAAGUUCGACGAUUACCUCGCCCGGUCCGGGUUCCGGAUCGGCCAC